GACGAACGCUGGCGGCGUGCUUAACACAUGCAAGUCGAACGGAAAGGCCCUGCUUGCAGGGUACUCGAGUGGCGAACGGGUGAGUAACACGUGGGUGAUCUGCCCUGCACUUCGGGAUAAGCCUGGGAAACUGGGUCUAAUACCGGAGAGGAGCCAUUUUUAGUGUGAUGGUUGGAAAGUUUUUUUCGGUGUAGGAUGAGCUCGCGGCCUAUCAGCUUGUUGGUGGGGUAAUGGCCUACCAAGGCGGCGACGGGUAGCCGGCCUGGGAGGGUGGACGGCCACAUUGGGACUGAGAUACGGCCCAGACUCCUACGGGAGGCAGCAGGGGGGAAUAUUUCACAAUGGGCGCAAGCCUGAUGCAGCGACGCCGCGUGGGGGAUGACGGCCUUCGGGUUGUAAACUCCUUUCGCUAGGGACGAAGCUUUUUGUGACGGUACCUAGAUAAGAAGCACCGGCUAACUACGUG
rnacentral:rRNA from 1 species